rnacentral:rRNA from 1 species
UACGUAGGUGGCAAGCGUUUGUCCGGAAUUACUGGGCGUAAAGGGCUCGUAGGCGGCCAACUAAGUCAGACGUGAAAUCCCUCGGCUUAACCGGGGAACUGCAUCUGAUACUGGAUGGCUUGAGAUUGGGAGAGGGAUGCGGAAUUCCAGGUGUAGCGGUGAAAUGCGUAGAUAUCUGGAGGAACACCGGUGGCGAAGGCGGCAUCCUGGACCAACACUGACGCUGAGGAGCGAAAGCCAGGGGAGCAAACGGG